UGGAGAGUUCCCAAGGUAACAGGCUCCCCUACAAAAACCUGCUGGUCAAUCAAAGGACAUGAACUGUUUUGGCUGGUUUGCAAAGACAUUUCAAGAACGGUUUGCAAAGACAUUUCAAGAACGGUUUGCAAAGACAUUUCAAGAACAGGUCUGCAGAAACUGGUGCCACAAAGGCAAGGUCCCCGAGUGACCAGGCAGACAACAGAAGAACAAGAGUCAGGUUUUGAUGAAUAACAGAGAAAGCAGAACAUACCCAUAAGCACUGAAGUCCAGCAGUGGAAGAACUGUGUGACAUGGACCACAGCCCUGUGACAUUACAAGCAUGUAUUACAGCUGCCAGAUGGGCUCAGCUGACUCAUGG